rnacentral:rRNA from 1 species
CGGGACACGUGGUAUCCUGUCUGAAUAUGGGGGGACCAUCCUCCAAGGCUAAAUACUCCUGACUGACCGAUAGUGAACCAGUACCGUGAGGGAAAGGCGAAAAGAACCCCGGCGAGGGGAGUGAAAAAGAACCUGAAACCGUGUACGUACAAGCAGUGGGAGCACGCUUAGGCGUGUGACUGCGUACCUUUUGUAUAAUGGGUCAGCGACUUAUAUUCUGUAGCAAGGUUAACCGAAUAGGGGAGCCGAAGGGAAACCGAGUCUUAACUGGGCGUUAAGUUGCAGGGUAUAGACCCGAAACCCGGUGAUCUAGCCAUGGGCAGGUUGAAGGUUGGGUAACACUAACUGGAGGACCGAACCGACUAAUGUUGAAAAAUUAGCGGAUGACUUGUGGCUGGGGGUGAAAGGCCA